UUUAUUGUGAGAGGAUGUGAUGUUAAUGGAGGUUUACCGUCCACUUUAAUGGCGGAGCUCCUCCUCGUGGUGAAGGAUGAUGGAUGGUUUUCAACAUUUUUUGUACAACAAUGUGGUGGUGAUGGUGGUAUUGGUGGCUGUCAUGGGUAUAGCUUACGUGAGAGAGAAAGAGGAACAAGUGGGAUAUUAUGGGGGAGGUAUUUUGGAAAAAGUGGGAACCAUUAUUAUAUAUUUUUUAUGUGUAUAGCAUGAGAGGCUUUUUUUUAAUUAGGCCCCCAAUGAUGUAUAAUUAGGGAAAAGGAAGACUAGCAACAAUGCCCUGAAUGGCUCCGUCGUCUUCUCUCUCCCAAUCGGAGAAACCGGUCGACUGUCUAGUCGUUGCCAUAAUCGCCGAAGACUCGAUGGAAUGGCAUCUGGGAAUCCCCUUCCUCCUUCUGCCCUACAACUAUCAUGCUGCUAUCAUCUUCCUCUUCUCCGAUCUUGUUGAUCUGACUACUGAAUGACCGAAAGAGAUAAGAGAAGCACUUCUCUCAUGGUUAGAGGGGGAAGGUCAUUGGGUUUGGGGAAUCAUUCGGGGAGGCACAUCUUUCUUGAUCAAACGACGUGGUCUUCCCUUGCCUCGGUGGUCAAGUUUUUGUUGUUCAUUCUUUCAUCCCCAUUGAAACUGUGCCCUUGGUAUCUUUAAAAGGGAUGUCAAUCCAAGGACAAUGGCAGCAAAAAUGAAACAAAGUGUUAUCAAUAUCCAAAACCAAGUAAGUCAUGACUUUUUCUUAGGUAUAGGUUUGUUCAAUUUUACUUAUUCUGCUUGCAAGACUAGCAUAGGAGUAUGUUAUAAAGUCCGAAUUUCAGUGUUUGUUAGUAUUGUAUGGCAUAUGUAUAAUAGUGAGAAGAAUAUAUCACAUAUGUAAUAAAAUAGAGUGAUUUUUAUAUCCAAAACACUUUUUUGCUUGAAGAAGCAUCUACAUUGAUCACUAUCUAGCACCAGCACCAUCGAGCAAGCUCGUGAUGAUACCUCCACCGAUUGAAGAAGCAUCUACAUUUUUCUGGUGAUGUGGGGUUUGUUUGAAUUAAAGAGGAAAAGAUUCACUUUGAAGCCACAAGUCAGGUUCUUUCUUUUUUUAUUUAUAUAUUAUAUAUAUUAAACUUUUAAUAUUAUGAUUAUAUUGGUAUGUUCAAAACUAUUCCUUGGAAUAAUCACAUUUAUUUUUGGUAUAUUUAGCUCUCUAUAUUUCUUUUAGUCAA